rnacentral:rRNA from 1 species
GGAAUAUUGCACAAUGGGGGAAACCCUGAUGCAGCAACGCCGCGUGGGUGAAGAAGUCAUUCGUGAUGUAAAGCUCUAUCAGCAGGGAAGAAAGAAAUGACGGUACCUGAGUAAGAAGCCCCGGCUAACUACGUGCCAGCAGCCGCGGUAAUACGUAGGGGGCAAGCGUUAUCCGGAAUUACUGGGUGUAAAGGGAGCGUAGACGGUAAUGCAAGUCUGGAGUGAAAGGCGGGGGCCCAACCCCCGGACUGCUCUGGAAACUGUGUAACUGGAGUGCAGGAGAGGCAGGCGGAAUUCCUAGUGUAGCGGUGAAAUGCGUAGAUAUUAGGAGGAACACCAGUGGCGAAGGCGGCCUGCUGGACUGUAACUGACGUUGAGGCUCGAAAGCGUGGGGAGCA